AACCAAUUGACUGGAGCAGUCCCUGAUUGGAUCCUGGAGAAAGCAGAAAAUGUUGAUUUAUCAUACAACUCCUUCACUGCUGGAGGCUCAGGAUGUCAAAAUCGAUCUGUGUAUCAACUUGUUCGCAAGCUUGGCGGUUGACAAUGCA